CUCACUCACUCACUCACUCACUCACUCACUCACUCACUCACUCACUCACUCACACACACUCAAAAUUGCAUGACCCAGGGGUUAAUGUCUCCCCACCCAGCACCCUAACAAACCUCCAAGGAGCUCUCUCUCUCUCUCUCUCUCUCUCUCUCUCUCUCUCUCUCUCUCUCUCACACACACACACACACACACACAAUUGUGCAUAAAAGUCAAGCCCUCUCGUUGUUUGCCAUCAUCAAGGUUUCAAUCCACAUAUUCACAUGGCUCAAGAACCAAUAUCUACCCCUCCCCCCAGCUCAUACAUAUUGCAGCUCACGUAACACUCACACUUAAACUCCAGUGUAGUCCAAGAGAUGACCCCACCAAUAACCACGAAUGCCCACAUCCCUACAGCAGCUUCUCCCUGCCUAUCUCCUACCAGAGCAGGCAUGUCUCUACUCUCCUGGUCUACUGGAAACAGCAAGAAGAGCGCAUCUCUAAAGGCAGGGAGCCAAAAGUUCUGAGCUGAUUAAGACCACUUCCCUCGCUGAGCCCCGUUUCCCUGUCUGGACAGUGAUUGAAGAUGCAUUCCAUCACAGAAGUCAUGGUGGCAGGAGUUUGAGGCAGCUUGCCACAUUUCAGCCAAAGCCAGGAAGUGGAGAGAGAUGAACACCGGUGUCCUUUGUUCUUUGUAUCAGUCUAGGACUCCACCCCAUCUGCCCUUGUCAGAACAAAGUAUGUAUGGAACAUUGUACGAAUUCCCAGCAUCCAACAAAGCAAAUAUACAAUGGAUGGAAUCCUGAGAGAAAUAACCCAACCUGUAAUGAAGCAGAAGAGAAGCUAAGGAGAAGGGAAACUGAAUCCAUGGACGGACAUAGGUGAUGGAAUUUGUAGAGACACAGGAAGUGGCCAUUCAGCUGCAUCUGUGCAUGUUCCCAGUACUAUAGGAGAGACGGGCCAUGCCGAGUAAAACCGUGAGAAUCGUUUUACUGCAGAUGCAGAAGUUGAACUUUUAGAGAUGACGAAGAGGAUGCUCUGUUUACUUUUUCGUUUUUUAACUUUUCUCCUUUGUGUUUCAUUUGAUAAUUUCUGUUGCUUGGUCCUUAGUCACAAACCUCCUGCAGUGUUGUAUCUUCUGAUCUAUGUGUUUAUCCCUUGUAGCAAACAUUUUCCUUCAGAAAUAUUCAUUUAAAAAGAUAUUUAAUAAAUGUACAUGUCUGAGUCUAUGUAAGCAUAUGCCUUAUUUUCACAGGUACCUUCAGAAGCCACAAAAGGUCAUCUGAUCCUCUGGAGCUGGAGUUACAGAAGGUUAUGAGCAACUGGGCAUGCCAGAAUUUAAACCUGUGUCCUCUGGACGAGCACCAAACCCUGCUGAGUUCUUACUCCAGUCCUAAAACAAAACAAAACAAAAUAUUGUUAUGGUUUGGCCACGAAAUGUCUCCCAAGUGUUGAGCACACCCUAGCUGGUAGCACUAUUUUGAGAGGACCCUGGCUGGAGGAAGAUGGUUUGAAGAUUAUGUCAUUUCCUAGUCCCUUCCUUGUUUUUGUCUUCCUUCCUUCCCCCUCUUCUUCUACUAACUGCCAUCAUCAUCAUCAUAUUCUGUAGCAUUACAGGUCCAGAAUCAACAGAGACAAGAGCUAUAACUAAGAUCUCUGAAGUUCUGAGCAAAACUUAACCAUUCUUCCUUUACCCUGUGUUGGUGUCACAGUUUUACAGUUACUUCUGUAACUUGCAAUUCUAUACAAUGUGUCCAUCUCUAUCCCGUAAAAAUAUCUUGCCAAAGACCAUGAUGGGGAAACCCACAGAAUCAACUGGCCAGAGCUUGUGAGAGAUCACUGGUUCAGGUCUGACAAUGGGGAACCUGCAUAAGACUGAACUAGACUCCCUUAAUAUAGGUGACAAUGGUGUGACUUGGACAAUAUAUGAGGCCACUGGCAGUGGGUCCAAGAUCUAACUCUAAUGUACAAACUGACUUA